UACGAAGGGGGCUAGCGUUGCUCGGAAUCACUGGGCGUAAAGCGCACGUAGGCGGAUUGUUAAGUCGGGGGUGAAAUCCUGGAGCUCAACUCCAGAACUGCCUUCGAUACUGGCGAUCUUGAGUCCGGAAGAGGAGAGUGGAAUUCCUGGUGUAGCGGUGAAAUGCGCAGAUAUCAGGAAGAACACCCGUGGCGAAGGCGGCUCUCUGGGACGGUACUGACGCUGAGACGCGAAAGCGUGGGGAGCGAACAGG
rnacentral:rRNA from 1 species